rnacentral:rRNA from 1 species
AUGCUACCGGGCGACCGGAUGCGGAUCUCGAAAGCCUGUCCCAGUUCGGACUGGAGUCUGCAACCCGACUCCACGAAGUUGGAUUCGCUAGUAAUCGCGCAUCAGCCAUGGCGCGGUGAAUACGUUCCCGGGCCUUGUACACACCGCCCGUCAAGCCAUGGGAGCCGGGGGCGCCUGAAGUCCGGGACCGCGAGGACCGGCCUAGGGCGAAACUGGUAACUGGGGCUAAGUCGUAACAAGGUACC